rnacentral:rRNA from 1 species
GUUCUGUAAGCCUGUGAAGGUGUGCUGUGAGGCAUGCUGGAGGUAUCAGAAGUGCGAAUGCUGACAUAAGUAACGAUAAAGCGGGUGAAAAGCCCGCUCGCCGGAAGACCAAGGGUUCCUGUCCAACGUUAAUCGGGGCAGGGUGAGUCGACCCCUAAGGCGAGGCCGAAAGGCGUAGUCGAUGGGAAACAGGUUAAUAUUCCUGUACUUGGUGUUACUGCGAAGGGGGGACGGAGAAGGCUAUGUUGGCCGGGCGACGGUUGUCCCGGUUUAAGCGUGUAGGCUGGUUUUCCAGGCAAAUCCGGAAAAUCAAGGCUGAGGCGUGAUGACGAGGCACUACGGUGCUGAAGCAACAAAUGCCCUGCUUCCAGGAAAAGCCUCUAAGCAUCAGGUAACAUCAAAUCGUACCCCAAACCGACACAGGUGGUCAGGUAGAGAAUACCAAGGCGCUUGAGAGAACUCGGGUGAAGGAACUAGGCAAAAUGGUGCCGUAACUUCGGGAGAAGGCACGCUGAUAUGUAGGUGAAGUCCCUCGCGGAUGGAGCUGAAAUCAGUCGAAGAUACCAGCUGGCUGCAACUGUUUAUUAAAAACACAGCACUGUGCAAACACGAAAGUGGACGUAUACGGUGUGACGCCUGCCCGGUGCCGGAAGGUUAAUUGAUGGGGUCAGCGUAAGCGAAGCUCUUGAUCGAAGCCCCGGUAAACGGCGGCCGUAACUAUAACGGUCCUAAGGUAGCGAAAUUCCUUGUCGGGUAAGUUCCGACCUGCACGAAUGGCGUAAUGAUGGCCAGGCUGUCUCCACCCGAGACUCAGUGAAAUUGAACUCGCUGUGAAGAUGCAGUGUACCCGCGGCAAGACGGAAAGACCCCGUGAACCUUUACUAUAGCUUGACACUGAACACUGGUCCUUGAUGUGUAGGAUAGGUGGGAGGCUUUGAAGUGUGGACGCCAGUCUGCAUGGAGCCGUCCUUGAAAUACCACCCUUUAAUGGCUGGUGUUCUAACGUUGGCCCCUUACCGGGGUUGCGGACAGUGUCUGGUGGGUAGUUUGACUGGGGCGGUCUCCUCCUAAAGAGUAACGGAGGAGCACGAAGGUUGGCUAAUCCUGGUCGGACAUCAGGAGGUUAGUGCAAUGGCAUAAGCCAGCUUGACUGCGAGCGUGACGGCGCGAGCAGGUGCGAAAGCAGGUCAUAGUGAUCCGGUGGUUCUGAAUGGAAGGGCCAUCGCUCAACGGAUAAAAGGUACUCCGGGGAUAACAGGCUGAUACCGCCCAAGAGUUCAUAUCGACGGCGGUGUUUGGCACCUCGAUGUCGGCUCAUCACAUCCUGGGGCUGAAGUAGGUCCCAAGGGUAUGGCUGUUCGCCAUUUAAAGUGGUACGCGAGCUGGGUUUAGAACGUCGUGAGACAGUUCGGUCCCUAUCUGCCGUGGGCGCUGGAGAACUGAGGGGGGCUGCUCCUAGUACGAGAGGACCGGAGUGGACGCAUCACUGGUGUUCGGGUUGUCAUGCCAAUGGCACUGCCCGGUAGCUAAAUGCGGAAGAGAUAAGUGCUGAAAGCAUCUAAGCACGAAACUUGCCCC